rnacentral:rRNA from 1 species
AUUGAACGCUGGCGGCAGGCCUAACACAUGCAAGUCGAGCGGAUGAAGGGAGCUUGCUCCUGGAUUCAGCGGCGGACGGGUGAGUAAUGCCUAGGAAUCUGCCUGGUAGUGGGGGAUAACGUCCGGAAACGGGCGCUAAUACCGCAUACGUCCUGCGGGAGAAAGUGGGGGAUCUUCGGACCUCACGCUAUCAGAUGAGCCUAGGUCGGAUUAGCUAGUUGGUGGGGUAAAGGCCUACCAAGGCGACGAUCCGUAACUGGUCUGAGAGGAUGAUCAGUCACACUGGAACUGAGACACGGUCCAGACUCCUACGGGAGGCAGCAGUGGGGAAUAUUAGACAAUGGGCGAAAGCCUGAUCCAGCCAUGCCGCGUGUGUGAAGAAGGUCUUCGGAUUGUAAAGCACUUUAAGUUGGGAGGAAGGGCAGUAAGUUAAUACCUUGCUGUUUUGACGUUACCAACAGAAUAAGCACCGGCUAACUUCGUG